rnacentral:misc_RNA from 1 species
AAGGAGCACCACGAAAAGCACUCCAAUUGGUGGGGUGCGAGCCGUGAGGGGUUCUCGUCUGUAGUGGACGAAAACCGGGUGCACAGCAGCAAAUGAUUGCCAGACACACUAUUGGGCCCUGAGACAACACUCGGUCGAUCCGUGUGGAGUCCCUCCAUCUUGGUGGUGGGGUGUGGUGUUUGAGUAUUGGAUAGUGGUUGCGAGCAUCUAGAUGAACGCGUAGUCCUUCGGGGCCGGCGUGUUCAUCGAAAUGUGUAAUUUCUUUGAUUAACUCUUGUGUGUAAGUAAGUGUUUAAGGGCGCAUGGUGGAUGCCUUGGCAUCGAGAGCCGAUGAAGGACGUGGGAGGCU